rnacentral:rRNA from 1 species
UACGAAGGGUGCAAACGUUGCUCGGAAUUAUUGGGCGUAAAGCGCACGUAGGCGGCCUUGCAAGUCGGGUGUGAAAGCCCUCAGCUCAACUGAGGAAGCGCGCCCGAAACUGCAGAGCUUGAGUACCGGAGAGGAUGGCGGAAUUCCCCAAGUAGAGGUGAAAUUCGUAGAUAUGGGGAGGAACACCGGUGGCGAAGGCGGCCAUCUGGACGGAUACUGACGCUGAGACGCGAAAGCGUGGGGAGCAAACAGG